UACAGAGGCCUCGAGCGUUAGGCGGAAUCACUGGGCUUAAAGCGUGUGUAGGCGGACUUCUAAGUACCUUGUGAAAUCCCACGGCUCACCCGUGGAACUGCUGGGUAUACUGGUCGUCUUGAGCCUUCUAGGGGCUACCGGAACAAAUGGUGGAGCGGUGAAAUGCGUAGAUAUCAUUUGGAACGCCAAUGGUGAAAACAGCUCGCUGGGGGUGCACUGACACUGAGACACGAAAGCCAGGGGAGCGAACGGG
rnacentral:rRNA from 1 species